ensembl:lncRNA
CACACACACACACACACACACACACGAGCAACACUUUCCAGUUGUCAUCUCUUGCACAACAUUCUGCAUUCUGUACAGUCCUUUACGCAUCACAAUAAACACACCUUCCUCAUGCUCUCAUUUAAAGCUGCUAUUCGUCUCCUUAUGCCUUUUGCCCACUCAUUUCACACACAAACUCAUUCUACAACCCAUUUUAGAGUGAAAUAUUAACUCAUUCGGACAUGCGUCUAAUAAUGGAAUUAGAUGUGACCAGUGCCCCGGGGAAUGGAGGCAGAAGGGAGUGUGCAGUGGGAGAGAGGACAGAGGAGCCUGGGAAGAUCUCCCCCAAAUAAUGAGCGGUAAUGUGGGAUGCUGAUGUUAUGAGGAUAUCAAGCAAAAAUGAAUAAGGAGCUAAAUACUGAUGCUUCAGUGGAGUGCCAUCAUCAUCCUCCAUUGUACUGGAUGGAUUUUUUACGUCACGUUUUCUAGACCUAAUGAUGAUGCUUAUAAUUGAAGAUGUGUGUGUACAGUGUACAGUAGUUAGUUCACUCAACCUGAUUGGUAAGUGUAAACCGUGCGUAUACUGGAUAUUAAAUAACAGCACAUUUCCCACUCGGUUAUCCAUACCUGUUUCGUUCCAGUGACCACUGGUAACUAUGGUAACAGUAACAGUUGCUCUGCUUUAAACCACUACUGUCGUCCGGCUGCUAGCAUUACCUUAAUGAACACCAGGAAUAGAAAAUACUUCAUAUUUGACUUGCACUGCCAGGCUUGCAUUCAGAUAAUACAUUUUUUUUUUAAAAUUUAAACCCAAAAGACCUAAGUUACAGUUAUAACUCCAAGCUAGCAACAGUUAUUUCCAUAUUAUUAUUAAUAUGGGCAGUUUCUUUCACCAAAAACAAAAAAAAGUAUUCCCACUCCAAGUGGCUUGUCAGUAUGUAUAGAACAAAACACGAUGGGCCAAAAUAUUAUACGAAAAUGAUCAGAGAUUUGACUCUGACUGCUGACACUGGAGACUAAACAAACCUCUCCUCACAGAAGACGUCACCAUAUCAUCACUAUAUUAAGAAUUUAACAGUGUUUAUCUCUCUCACUCUCUCAAGCCCUCUCUCUCGCUUUUUCUCUCUCUCCUUCUCUCUCUCCCCCUCUUUCUCCCUCUCUCUCUCUCUUUCUCCCUCGCUCCGUCUUUCCAUAAUGAUGUUGCAUUUUAAACG